GGACUGGACAGGUAGGCAGAGAGCACAUGAGGCUCAGACUGAAAGAAGCCGGUGGAAGGUGGGAAGCAGGAAAGACAUAAUCCCACGGAGGACAAUGUGGCUAACAGACGGGGGAGGAGGGCUGGCAUGCGGAGCGGAGCCUGGCGGCAGAGAGACACCGAGUUUCCACAGGACAAGAGGACGCGUACUAGGGAUGUCUCCUGAGGACAGCUCCCUUGCAACAGUGCGGCUGGAGGCCAGGCCACCGUGGGCUGCAGAGUGGACAAGCAGUCAGGGGAGAAGCCUCAGAAGUAAAUACUCUUUCCAAAGUGUGGCUAAGAAUUCUGGAAACGAGCAGGAAGGAAGUAACUGUGAAUACUAUUUCCUUCAAAAAGGCCAACGUGGAGCGCCUGGGUGGCUCAAUGGGUUAAAGCCUCUGCCUUCAGCCCAGGUCAUGAUCCCAGGGUCCUGGGAUCAAGCCCCACAUCGGGCUCUCUGCUCUGUGGAGAGCCUGCUUCCUCCUCUCUCUCUGCCUGCCUCUCUGCCUACUUGUGAUCUC